rnacentral:hammerhead_ribozyme from 1 species
AUCUAAAUGAUGAGUCCGAAAUACGACAAAACGCGUGUCUUGGAU